AGAGUUUGAUCCUGGCUCAGAUUGAACGCUGGCGGCAUGCCUAACACAUGCAAGUCGAACGGCAGCACAGUGUGUAGCAAUACACAUGGGUGGCGAGUGGCGGACGGGUGCGUAAUAUGUAGGAAUCUUCCCUAAAGCGGGGGAUAACCCGGGGAAACUCGGGCUAAUACCGCAUAAUCUCUACGGAGCAAAGGGGGCUA
rnacentral:rRNA from 1 species